GCGGCGGACGGGUGAGUAACACGUGGGCAACCUGCCUGUAAGACUGGGAUAACUCCGGGAAACCGGGGCUAAUACCGGAUAAUACUUUCUUCCACAUGGAGGGAAGUUGAAAGAUGGCUCCGGCUAUCACUUACAGAUGGGCCCGCGGUGCAUUAGCUAGUUGGUGAGGUAACGGCUCACCAAGGCAACGAUGCAUAGCCGACCUGAGAGGGUGAUCGGCCACACUGGGACUGAGACACGGCCCAGACUCCUACGGGAGGCAGCAGUAGGGAAUCUUCCGCAAUGGACGAAAGUCUGACGGAGCAACGCCGCGUGAACGAAGAAGGUUUUCGGAUCGUAAAGUUCUGUUGUUAGGGAAGAACAAGUACCGUUCAAAUAGGGCGGUACCUUGACGGUACCUAUCGAGGAAGCCCCGGCUAACUACGUGCCAGCAGCCGCGGUAAUACGUAGGGGGCAAGCGUUGUCCGGAAUUAUUGGGCGUAAAGCGCGCGUAGGCGGUUUCUUAAGUCUGAUGUGAAAUCUUGCGGCUCAACCGCAAGCGGUCAUUGGAAACUGGGGAACUUGAGUAC
rnacentral:rRNA from 1 species